AGAAUUACCUACUGUUUAAUUUUGAAAGUUUUUUACGAACUUUAUAUAUGGGGGUGUAGCUCAGUUGGGAGAGCACUUGCCUUGCAAGCAAGGGGUCAGGAGUUCGACUCUCCUCAUCUCCACCAUUUAAGAGUAUAUUACUUAAAUCUUUGAUUUACUUAGUAGCCUCUUACAAUGCACUUAUAGCUUAAAUUUAUACAGGCUUUGUGCGUUAGCACUUUAAGCAACAGAAUAAACUGAACACAUGUGAAGUUUGUUUGUUGGCGCUGUGCGUUAGCACUUUGAAAACUGCAUAUAUAUAUUUAGUGAUAUGACAUCUAAUUUGUAAUAUAUAAAGCUGAUAACUUUUUAAAAUUAUCGAAGUUGAUAGCUUCUAAUCUAUCAAACCUUUUUAACUGGUCAAGUUAUUAAGGGUGCAAUUGACGGGGACCCGCACAAGUAGCGGAGCAUGUGGUUUAAUUCGAAGCAACGCGAAGAACCUUACCUAAGCUUGACAUCCCAAUGACAUCUCCUUAAUCGGAGAGUUCCCUUCGGGGACAUUGGUGACAGGUGGUGCAUGGUUGUCGUCAGCUCGUGUCGUGAGAUGUUGGGUUAAGUCCCGCAACGAGCGCAACCCUUGUCUUUAGUUGCCAUCAUUAAGUUGGGCACUCUAGAGAGACUGCCAGGGAUAACCUGGAGGAAGGUGGGGAUGACGUCAAAUCAUCAUGCCCCUUAUGCUUAGGGCUACACACGUGCUACAAUGGGUAGUACAGAGGGUUGCCAAACCGUAAGGUGGAGCUAAUCCCUUAAAGCUACUCUCAGUUCGGAUUGUAGGCUGAAACUCGCCUACAUGAAGCUGGAGUUACUAGUAAUCGCAGAUCAGAAUGCUGCGGUGAAUGCGUUCCCGGGUCUUGUACACACCGCCCGUCACACCACGGGAGUUGGAGACGCCCGAAGCCGAUUAUCUAACCUUUUGGAAGAAGUCGUCGAAGGUGGAAUCAAUAACUGGGGUGAAGUCGUAACAAGGUAGCCGUAUCGGAAGGUGCGGCUG
rnacentral:rRNA from 1 species